UCAAACAUGGCCUGGAGGAGAAUCCCAAAUAAGGAAAUCAGCAGGUACCUUCUACUUUUAUGGAGAGGUGCAUGCAGUGUUAGUGAGAACAUCUGUGUUGCACAGUCACAGACCUGUCACCCACCCUCCAGGCCGAGAGAACAGGGAGAGAGAGAGACUGAGAAAGGAAAAGAGAAGUGAAGUCUAAGGAGGAAGGAAACGUAGAAGAUAAAGGAGAAAAAUCACCAAAGAAUUACUGCAGAUGAACAACUUAUUCUCUGAGUGUUACAGCCCUGCUCCAUCACAGCCAUGGUGACAUUCCCUUCUGCAGCCAUGAACAGUGGUUUUUGCUCCAACUUUCUUUCCAUUUGUGUACUGGGAUUCCUCCCUGUGGUCUGAAGAAUACUCUUGUUCUACCUUCCUGGCUGAAGAGCUGCAAGCUGUUCUAGUC